rnacentral:misc_RNA from 1 species
UUUCCGUAGGUGAACCUGCGGAAGGAUCAUUAAUGAGUUAGGGUCUUCCAGGCCCGACCUCCAACCCUUUGUAUAACUACCAUGUUGCUUUGGCGGGCCCGUCUCUAACCAGACCGUCGGGGGUUUGAACCCCUGGCCAGUGCUCGUCAGUAGCCCACCACAAAUUCUUUUAACCAUGUUAAAUCUGAAAUUAGUUAAAUAAACUAAAACUUUCAACAACGGAUCUCUUGGUUCAG